CCCCGGGCNCAACCUGGGAACUGCGUUCUGAACUGGGUGACUAGAGUGUGUCAGAGGGAGNUAGAAUUCCACGUGUAGCAGUGAAAUGCGUAGAGAUGUGGAGGAAUACCGAUGGCGAAGGCAGCCUCCUGGGAUAACACUGACGUUCAUGCCCGAAAGCGUGGGUAGCAAACAGGAUUAGAUACCCUGGUAGUCCACGCCCUAAACGAUGUCGAUUAGCUGUUGGGCAGCAUGACUGCUUAGUAGCGAAGCUAACGCGUGAAAUCGACCGCCUGGGGAGUACGGUCGCAAGAUUAAAACUCAAAGGAAUUGACGGGGACCCGCACAAGCGGUGGAUGAUGUGGAUUAAUUCGAUGCAACGCGAAGAACCUUACCUGGUCUUGACAUGUACGGAACCCUUCAGAGACGGAGGGGUGCCUUCGGGAGCCGUAACACAGGUGCUGCAUGGCUGUCGUCAGCUCGUGUCGUGAGAUGUUGGGUUAAGUNNNNCAACGAGCGCAACCCUUGUCAUUAGUUGCCAUCAUUAAGUUGGGCACUCUAACGAGACUGCCGGUGACAAGCCGGAGGAAGGUGGGGAUGACGUCAAGUCCUCAUGGCCCUUAUGACCAGGGCUUCACACGUCAUACAAUGGUCGGUACAGAGGGUAGCCAAGCCGCGAGGCGGAGCCAAUCUCACAAAACCGAUCGUAGUCCGGAUUGCACUCUGCAACU
rnacentral:rRNA from 1 species